GUGGCGAUAGCGAAGAGGUCACACCCGUUCCCAUGCCGAACACGGAAGUUAAGCUCUUCAGCGCCGAUGGUAGUUGGGGGCUUCCCCCUGUGAGAGUAGGACGCCGCCAAGC
rnacentral:rRNA from 2 species